UUUCCGUAGGUGAACCUGCGGAAGGAUCAUUAUCGAAUGUGAAUGUUGGAUCGACUGUUGCUGGCUCAGUUUUGACUACUGAAGCAUGUGCACGUCUACCAUUUUAUCUACACACCUGUGCACCUACUGUAGGUCCUUGAAAGAGGAUGCUAUGUAUUUUGAUAACCUUUACAUGUAUGGAAUGGGGAUAUAUAUUGGAUAUAUACAACUUUCAGCAACGGAUCUCUUGGCUCUCGCAUCGAUGAAGAACGCAGC
rnacentral:misc_RNA from 1 species